AGGUUUCUUAUAAGGAAAAUUUGAGUGAAGAUGAAGACUUUGUGACCCAAUCAAAGAAGGCCAAGGGGAGUGGAUCAUCCUAUGCCAGUGAAGAGCUGUGCAGAAAUGGAUUGAAGCACAGUUUCUUUCAAACAAAUAAGCAUUCUGGACUAGCUUCUGGUGUGAAAGAUCUGAAUGAGGAGAAACAAAAGAAAGGUCCAGAGAGCUUUCCAAUGAAGGACAUCAAGGAUGUAAAGGAAAAAGUAAAAGCAGAAGAAAAUGGGUGUAAGAAAAGUUCUGAGGCUCAUGGCAAUUUUGCAACAGAUUCAAGCUCCAAAUCCACAUCAGAUCCAGAGUUCUAUGAGUAUCCUGACCCAGAUUUCAGUGACUUUGAUGAGGGCCGGAAUGAAGGGUGUUUUUCAAUAGGACAGAUCUGGGCUGUUUAUGAUACCUUUGAUGCCAUGCCUAGGUUUUAUGCUCGAAUUAGGAAAGUUUUCUCUCCUGAGUUCAAACUGCGCAUAACCUGGCUGGAGCCAGACCCAGAUGAUGAAGAUGAAAUUGCAUGGGCCAAUGAGGGCUGGCCAACUCCUUGUGGUAAGUUCAGAAAUGGACACUCUGAAAAUACUGAAUACCGUCUUAUGUUCUCCCAUAUGGUUAACUGGGAAAAAGGUAGCCAAAGGGACACUUAUAAGAUAUUUCCAAGAAAAGGGGAAACUUGGGCUGUCUUCAAGAACUGGGAUAUUA
rnacentral:misc_RNA from 1 species